UACGUAGGGUGCGAGCGUAAUCGGAAUUACUGGGCGUAAAGCGUGCGCAGGCGGUUUUGUAAGUCAGAUGUGAAAUCCCCGGGCUCAACCUGGGAACUGCGUUUGAAACUACAAGGCUAGAGUGUAGCAGAGGGGGGUAGAAUUCCACGUGUAGCAGUGAAAUGCGUAGAGAUGUGGAGGAAUACCAAUGGCGAAGGCAGCCCCCUGGGUUAACACUGACGCUCAUGCACGAAAGCGUGGGGAGCAAACAGG
rnacentral:rRNA from 1 species